GGGGAAGGGAGCACAGCCCCAAGCAGAGGUGACAGCGCAGCUCACAAGGCGACAUGGACAUAGGAACCCGGGUCCAAAGUCUGUUCCUCCUGCCCUGAACAAGAGCUGGUUUGUGGAUAUGACACAUACCCCAAGAGUCAGAAGACUUGAGCUCUGGAUGAGGAACCUACACACUCUGAUGGACAUGUCAAACUGAAGAUCAUAAGCCUGCAGCAUCCAAGGCAAAACGCCGCCAUCACAAGACAGCAGGGCAUGAUAUAAAGAACCAGCACUGGACAACCAGGAGAACUGGCCAUCUGGACUCUAUUCUUGGUGGCACCAGUGGCAGGGCAUGUGACCUGGGGCAAGUUAUUAGCCUCUCUAAACCAAAGUGUUACCAUUUUUAAAACCAGAAUCCAAAGAGCAACGCUGCAACUCUAAAAUUC